UCACUAAGACAAGAAGAACAAACACCUGAGGAACAAGAGUCCUCUGAGCAGCCAUGCCUGGGACAGCCACACCGAAAGCAGCCACUUGAGAUGCCAGAGUCCCCCACACAGCCAUGCCUGGGAUGGCCCGGGAGUAGAAACCUGUAGAUUAACAAAACCACCUUUAUUAUUACCUGAAGUCCACUUUUCUUCAACCAUGGGGCUUCCAUGUCACAUAUGGACAUUUUAACAGCAAGAAAAUCACAUGUGGGGUGAAACUAAAGCCCCACACAGUGGUGUCUUCUCGAAAGCCAAAGACGAGGUUUCAUAAUUGAGCUCCAUGUUCUUCUUAUUCCCUUUCUCGGUGAUAUUUCUUUUUAGUAAACAUUUUAAAGAAUGAAA
rnacentral:sRNA from 1 species